GCCAAUGUAGCUCAGCGGUAGAGCACUUCCUUGGUAAGGAAGAGGUCCCGGGUUCAAGUCCCGGCAUCGGCU
rfam:Porphyromonas macacae strain COT-192_OH2859 contig_15, whole genome shotgun sequence.